GCGGCAGCAGGCGAGGCGCUGGUGUGGCUCCCAAGAAGAGAAACAGACCCAAAGCUCCGUGCUGGCAACUCUCGAGGAGACACUGAAGCCGGCAGAGGGAGGCGGACAAGCCGGCCCCACCGUCUCCAUCACUGCCGCUGCUACUUGAAAGCCCUUAACUGGAGGCAACUCGGGAGGGGCCCGAUCCAGCCCAGCAAGAUCCCUUCUCUUCCCAAGGGCAGAGCACGCCUGGGGGUGUCUCUUUGGAGCUGCACACUGCAGGGUGUGCAGAAGGAGGCCCAGAAUCGCACUCCUCCAUGCAGGACAGGGGAUUGUCAGACAGACAGAUGCCAAGAUUAACAUCCAAAGCACAAAAUUCAGCAAGGGACAAGAACAGGCCAGGCCAGCAGGCUGAAGUCAGGGACAGCUCUGGUUCUGCUAUCGUCAUCCAAAAUUGCAAGUCUCUAACAUGGCCUACUUUUUGAGUCUUCUCUUCUAAAUAGAAUUCAAACAAACAUGCAAAAUCAGAUCCCAAGCAAUUUAGAGCAUCAGAAGAAGAAGAAAACCCAAUUCAGAAUUUUCUAGCAAACCCACAUCACUGAUACUCAGCAAUGGAAUAAGCCCCAUGGAAACGGAAGACCCACAUCAGGGGAAAGGAUUCAGCCUAGCCAUUUCCUCGAUGUGUUCCUGACCCCCAGAGGGAACCUUCAAAGGAGGUUUCCCCAUCGAUGAAAGCGACACAGUCUAGGGAACGUUUUACCACUUGAAUCUGCUGGAUGUAUGAAUUGACUCUCAGCGAGUAAAGAUGCCCUUUUAAAAAACUGAUUUGUGGUAGAUGCACUCCAGAUGCAUACUUGCUGCUUAGUCAGCCGUUAGGCAGUGCGUAAGCACACGGCUUCAGAAAAAUAGUCGCCCGGGCUGCAAGACCAAGGGCUUUGCCUGUGUUUACACGGAACUAGUCCACACAGAACCAUCCUCAGAAGGUCACCUUCAAGCACAGAAGGGAAAGAGUCUAAACUGUAUCCAGCUAUGGCAGGGCGAGGCAAAGAGAUUACAUGUCAUGGAGUUAUUUACUCCACCCAAGGACAGGAAAAAAAGAAGCAUUAUGCAGAGGACGACAUGAGCAUGAAUGUGCAUUGGUGAAAGCACCCCUUGCGGAAGGCAGACAGCAGUCAUGUCCUCCCUACACCAUCGCUAUACAUACAUCAUUUUGAAAGUUUCAGCACAUUUCUCAAGAAAUGUCUGCAGUCGGAGAUGCAGACGUGAACACAACUCUCCCCUGCUCCCAGUUUCACUAAGCCCUCAAUUCCAACUUUGAUUUGCAGCCAAAUAUUUUUAGGGAAAGCUUUGAUUGCAUAAUACGCUGCAAAGAACCAACGCUUAGAUGUGUGUGGGGUGGGGGGGGGAUGCUGAUUGCUGACAAAGCGAGCUUUGGGGUAUUAAAGAGUACUAAGAACUCAGUUAAUUAGCAGGCCUUGUCAGCAGUAAUCCACCCCACAAACGAAGGGCUGCAGCCAUCUCAGGACCAGCAAGAGGGCAACGCUGCUUCAGUUCUGAGCAGCAAACUAGACGUGUCAGCCGCGGAAUUUUCGUAUCUGAACACUGCCUGUUCAGACAAAGGCCAAUAAUCCAAUAAAGGAAAAGUUAAUUGAC